rnacentral:rRNA from 1 species
AGAGCGAACGCUGGCGGCAGGCCUAACACAUGCAAGUCGAACGGACCCUUCGGGGUUAGUGGCGGACGGGUGAGUAACACGUGGGAACGUGCCUUUAGGUUCGGAAUAGCUCCUGGAAACGGGUGGUAAUGCCGAAUGUGCCCUUCGGGGGAAAGAUUUAUCGCCUUUAGAGCGGCCCGCGUCUGAUUAGCUAGUUGGUGGGUAAUGGCCCACAAGGCUACGAUCAGUAGCUGGUCUGAGAGGAUGACCAGCCACAUUGGGACUGAGACACGGCCAAACUCCUACGGGAGGCAGCAGUGGGAAUCUUGCGCAAUGGCGAAAGCCUGACGCAGCCAUGCCGCGUGUAUGAUGAAGGUCUUAGAUUGUAAAAUAUUUCGACCGUGAAGAUAAUGACUGUAGCCGGAGAAGAAGCCCCGGAUAACUUACGCGCCAGCA